CACGAACCAAAAGCAAAACAACAAAGUUCUUGUUGUGCUUAGAACCGCACUGAGCAUAAUUCUGUGCAUAAUAUUCUUAGGCUUGUUUAAUUCAUAAGGUUCAAAGACAGAUGCUAAGAUAACUGUUUCAAAACACUGACUUUUCUGUGGUGAGUUUUUUUUUUUUUUUGGUGGCUUUAUCUACAGACAAGUCUUAACCUCCUGGCAGAGGCAACCAGGUUUUGGACUGAAAUAUUGCAUAAUUUAUAAAGCCAUCAAUCUUCACAGGAGCCUCUGAAUCACCAGGCAUGAAACAUCCCUAAAGCAUUAAUACUCCAUAUUUUACACCAGGUUGGGAAGUUCAGUCCAGACUCCUUCACAGAUUCCACCUCCUUCUGGAAGAUCCCCAGACCUUCGCAAAGCCUACUGUGAGAUAUAAUCUCUCCAACGGGUCCUAGAUUCAGCACCAGUGACUGAUCCAGCUCUAGCGGGAGACGACCAUCAGAGGAGGCAUCGAACCACAUUACCUGUCUCCUUUCGAUUGGGAGGAGCAGUGGAUCUAUGCGGAGACUCUCCCGGAUUAUCGUGCUCCUCACUCUAUAACAAAGA
ensembl:lncRNA